rnacentral:rRNA from 1 species
UACGUAGGUGGCAAGCGUUGUCCGGAUUUAUCGGGUUUAAAGGGUGCGUAGGCGGUCAUGUAAGUCAGCGGUGAAAUCCGGCAGCUCAACUGUCGAUGUGCCAUUGAUACUGCAUGACUUGAGUACUGAUGAGGUAGGCGGAAUUGACGGUGUAGCGGUGAAAUGCUUAGAUAUCGUCAAGAACACCGAUAGCGAAGGCAGCUUACUAAAGAGUAACUGACGCUGAGGCACGAAAGUGUGGGGAUCAAACAGG